GGACGAACGCUGGCGGCGUGCUUAACACAUGCAAGUCGAACGGUAAGGCUCCAGCUUGCUGGGGUACACGAGUGGCGAACGGGUGAGUAACACGUGGGUGACCUGCCCUGCACUUCGGGAUAAGCCUGGGAAACUGGGUCUAAUACCGGAUAGGACCAUGGUGUGGAUACUGUGGUGGAAAGUUUUUUCGGUGUGGGAUGGGCCCGCGGCCUAUCAGCUUGUUGGUGGGGUAAUGGCCUACCAAGGCGGCGACGGGUAGCCGGCCUGAGAGGGUGGACGGCCACAUUGGGACUGAGACACGGCCCAGACUCCUACGGGAGGCAGCAGUGGGGAAUAUUGCACAAUGGGCGGAAGCCUGAUGCAGCGACGCCGCGUGGGGGAUGACGGCCUUCGGGUUGUAAACUCCUUUCACCAUCGACGAAGGGUUUCUGACGGUAGAUGGAGAAGAAGCACCGGCUAACUACGUG
rnacentral:rRNA from 1 species